ACCGGGUUUGCGCAUUAGUGUUUCCUGUUAGCUAGUAAUCUUAGCUAUCUUUUAGUUAUGUUCCAGAUUAUAACUUUAGAUUACAUUUGGUUGUAUUAAUAUGGUACUAAUUAAAUUAAUUAUUUUCGACUUCACAUCGGGUUCAGAAAGUACAGAUAAUUACAACAGGCACAUUUAGUUAGCUAGCCAGUCAGUCACCAUGGCCAUAUUUAUUCUUCAUUCAGUUAUAGGCCUGUUUUAUUGUGUACCAUUUGCCAUGAUUAUUUGUUCACUUUUACGAAAGGAAGAAAUCUCCAGAGGGAUUGCUUUUACCUAGCUAGCAUAGCUCUAAGAGUCUCAAACGAUUAACACGUUACUUCUCAAAAUCUCAGUCUAUGAUAGAAUGCCGAAAGCUCGUCAACAACCAGGCUAGCUAGCUAGAUAUCGAACUACAUAUGCCAAAAAUGACAGGCUUUUAACUUUCGCCUUAAAUUGCUUUCGUGAGCUGCAGCGAUCAUGUCGCUGUACGAUAACCUCGGCGUGCACACCAGCGAAAAGACGGAAGGCUGGUCUAAGAACUUCAAACUACUGCAGUCUCAGCUGAGUGCAGGUGAAAAAGGCCACGCUCACGCAAGCCAAGACCCCACAGUGUUGAGCAGAAGAGCUGUGGGUUCUGUGCGGAGUCAACGCCACGGUUCUGGCCCCGGUCCUGGCCCCAGUCAUCGACCUGAAAAGAGGCGGCUCCAGCGAUGACAGACAGGUGUCAGACACGCCCCCUCACCUGGCUGCAGGGCUGAAGGCUGGUUUUCGGCAGGUGAUGUGCUGAUCCCAUUGGCCGAUGAGUACGACCCCAUGUUCCCCAACGACUACGCCACGGCGGUGAAACGGCAGCGCGGAGCGACAGAACCAGACGGGCGGCGACAGAACCAGACGGGCAGCGACAGAACCAGACGGGGAGCGACAGAACCAGACGGGCAGCGACAGAACCAGACGGGGAGCGACAGAACCAGGCGGGCAGCGGGGAGCGACAGAACCAGACGGGCAGCGACAGAACCAGACGGGCAGCGACAGAACCAGACGGGGAGCGACAGAACCAGACGGGGAGCGACAGA